rnacentral:rRNA from 1 species
AGAGUUUGAUCCUGGCUCAGAAUGAACGUUGGCGGCGUGGAUUAGGCAUGCAAGUCGAGCGAGAACCCGCAAGGGGGACAGCGGCAAACGGGGUAGUAACGGGUAGGCGACGUACCCUUCGGUCGGGGAUAGCCACGGGAAACUGUGGGUAAUACCCGAUAAUCUCCGGGAGCGUGAUAGCUUCCAGAGCAAAGGUGAGAUUCCACCGGAGGAGCGGCCUGCUUCGUAUUAGCUGGUUGGUGAGGUAACGGCUCACCAAGGCGACGAUGCGUAGGGGGUGUGAGAGCAUGACCCCCACCACUGGGACUGAGAUACUGCCCAGACACCUACGGGUGGCUGCAGUCGAGAAUCUUCGGCAAUGGGCGCAAGCCUGACCGAGCGACGCCGCGUGUGGGAUGAAGGCCCUUGGGUUGUAAACCACUGUCAGAGGGGAUGAAGUGCCGGAGGGCAAUCUCUCCGGUUUGACAUAGCCUCAGAGGAAGCACGGGCUAAGUUCGUGCCAGCAGCCGCGGUAAUACGAACUGUGCAAACGUUAUUCGGAAUCACUGGGCUUACAGGGUGCGUAGGCGGCUUGUCAAGUAGGGUGUGAAAGCCCCCGGCUCAACCGGGGAAUUGCGCCCUAAACUGGCGAGCUGGAGUGAGAUAGGGGUGUGUGGAACUUCCGGUGGAGCGGUGAAAUGUGUUGAUAUCGGAAGGAACGCCGGUGGCGAAAGCGACACACUGGAUCUUGUCUGACGCUGAGGCACGAAAGCCAGGGGAGCGAACGGGAUUAGAUACCCUAGUAGUCC